rnacentral:rRNA from 1 species
AUGGAAAAGUGUUUGUCGGCGGGAGGAAAGGAGGUUCUUAUCAAGUCGGUGGCACAAGCCAUUCCGACUUACUCAAUGGCAUGUUUUAAGUUACCCCGUGGUUUGUGUGAACACAUAAACGGUCAGAUUCGGAAAUUCUGGUGGGGGAGUAAGAAUGGCGAGAGAAAGACAGCUUGGGUGUCUUGGAAAACCAUGUCAAAACCAAAGUUUAUGGGGGGCUUAGGCUUUCGAGAUAUUGAGUUAUUCAACCUGGCCUUACUUGCUCGACAAGCUUGGAGAUUAUUGCAGAAACCGGAGUCUUUGAGUGCACGAGUGUUAAAAGCCCGGUAUUUCCCUAACACCGAUCUUCUACAGGCCAAUCUGGGUUCGGCCCCUUCCCAAGUUUGGCGAUCUCUUGUUGAAGGAAGGGAUAUAUUACAACUGGGACUUGUCAGGAGAAUUGGAAAAGGUGCAGACACAAACGUUUGGCAAGAUAAUUGGAUCCCAAGGGACUAUAAACUGAGACCCAUAUGUGUCCGCUCUUUGAAUCCUCCGGUUUUGGUCUCGGAGCUUAUAAACCUUGCUACUCGCUCAUGGAAUAAGCAUGCGUUGACUGAACAUUUCAUUGUGGCUGAUGUUGAGGCUAUUCUUAAUAUACCACUUAGCACGCAGAUGCAAGAGGACUUUUGGGCAUGGCACUAUGAUAGGUGUGGUAUUUUCUCAGUAAGAUCAGCCUAUAGGAUGAUCUGUGCCAUCAAAACUCAAUAG